GGGUAUUCUUCUGUUGUCUUGUUUUUUUACAAGAAUCAUUCCAGCAGAAGAGGCAGCUUACAAGCCUAUACUUUUGAGGAACAACCUACACUUCCUGUGCUUUUGCCUACUUCAUCUGGAUUACCACCAGGUUGGGAAGAAAAACAAGAUGAAAGAGGAAGAUCAUAUUAUGUAGAUCACAAUUCCAGAACGACUACUUGGACAAAGCCCACUGUACAGGCCACAGUGGAGACCAGUCAGCUGACAUCAAGCCAGAGUUCUGCAGGCCCUCAAUCACAAGCCUCCACCAGUGAUUCAGGCCAGCAGGUGACCCAGCCAUCUGAAAUUGAGCAAGGAUUCCUUCCUAAAGGCUGGGAAGUCCGGCAUGCACCAAAUGGGAGGCCUUUCUUUAUUGACCACAACACUAAAACCACCACCUGGGAAGAUCCAAGAUUGAAAAUUCCAGCCCAUCUGAGAGGAAAGACAUCACUUGAUACUUCCAAUGAUCUAGGGCCUUUACCUCCAGGAUGGGAAGAGAGAACUCACACAGAUGGAAGAAUCUUCUACAUAAAUCAC
rnacentral:lncRNA from 1 species